AAGUAUUACACCUCUUCUAGAAUUUGUCUGGCAGGCUUUCUGGUUUUCACCACACAAAAAACGAGGAAACGUCUUA
rnacentral:snRNA from 1 species